GACGAACGCUGGCGGCGUGCUUAACACAUGCAAGUCGAACGGAAAGGCCCUGCUUUUGUGGGGUGCUCGAGUGGCGAACGGGUGAGUAACACGUGAGUAACCUGCCCUUGACUUUGGGAUAACUUCAGGAAACUGGGGCUAAUACCGGAUAGGAGCUCCUGCUGCAUGGUGGGGGUUGGAAAGUUUCGGCGGUUGGGGAUGGACUCGCGGCUUAUCAGCUUGUUGGUGGGGUAGUGGCUUACCAAGGCUUUGACGGGUAGCCGGCCUGAGAGGGUGGCCGGGGGGGGGCGGACGGCGCCCGGAGACGGUGGGUCGUCGGCCGCGUGGUCAGGCGGGGGGCGGCAGUGGAGCAGGUGGAACCGGCGGCGGGAGCCGGGGGGGGCAGCGCGGGGUGGUGGAGGACGGCCCUGGGGUUGGAAGCGGCGGUGGCGUGUGAGGAGGGGUGAGUAACGGUAAGGGGGAAAGAAGCACCGGCAAACUACGGGACAGAAGCCGGGGGAAUAAUGGGACGCGCACACGCUUCAUC
rnacentral:rRNA from 1 species